GACCGAGUAGCUCAGUUGGCAGAGCAUUGGGCUAGCAUUCCAAAGGUCGUAGGUUCGAUUCCCACCGUGGUCA
rnacentral:tRNA from 1 species